rnacentral:tRNA from 1 species
GGCAGCGUGGCUCACUGGAAAGAGCCCGGGAUUGGGAGUCCGCGGUCCUGGGUUCGAAUCCCGGCUCGGCCG